rnacentral:rRNA from 1 species
GUGUCAGCAGCCGCGGUAAUACGAAGGGGGCUAGCGUUGUUCGGAAUUACUGGGCGUAAAGCGCACGUAGGCGGAUUGUUAAGUCAGGGGUGAAAUCCCGAGGCUCAACCUCGGAACUGCCUUUGAUACUGGCAAUCUAGAGACUGGAAGAGGUUAGUGGAAUUCCCAGUGUAGAGGUGAAAUUCGUAGAUAUUGGGAAGAACACCAGUGGCGAAGGCGGCUAACUGGUCCAGUACUGACGCUGAGGUGCGAAAGCGUGGGGAUCAAACAGGAUUAGAUACCCUGGUAGUCCACGCCGUAAACUAUGGAUGCUAGCCGUCAUGAAGCUUGCUUCUUGGUGGCGCAGCUAACGCAUUAAGCAUCCCGCCUGGGGAGUACGGUCGCAAGAUUAAA